UGGAGGACGUGGCUUCCUUUAUUCAGUCCAGCCCUCUCGCUUUGGAUCUUCCUCUUUUCCUACUGCCUGCUGGCACCUUAAAGAAGAACAACAUUUAAUGCAAUAGGAACUUGGGGAGGCAGAGCUCAUUUCUUCAGGUGUUGUUAGAGUCUUCAUUAUUCUGCUGCAAGAGACUGACACGGCUUCUCCUCCAGAAUUAUGAUAGGAAGUAUGACGACUGGGAUGACUCCUCGGCGCGGCAGACAAUCUUCCUCCUGCUCCGCGGACAGCAUAACCGAGAAGGCCCGAGGCGCGUCCUUGCCUCAUUUGCAACUUGAUCUGCAAGUUUAAUGAGCUGUCAGAGAUGUCACACACCUUGUGGGACUCACCUUUUCACCUCUUCCUUUGCGUCUCGGAUUUUUUACGAUGAUGGAUCUCUUGGCCACCGCUUCUUUCCAGACAAUGGGAGCAGAGUGGUAAUUAAAAUCUGCCAAGAGAGAAGUAAAUCAAAGGGGUAUUUAAGAAAGAAAAGAAAAGAAGACACCUGUGGGGCAGCGGCAGCCCGAAACAAGCGGAGCCGGUUUCCAACGGCUCGUAAAAGCAAAGUCACCUGCUUCCCCGUUGGCAGGCACUGGCGGAUGGGUGGGGAGGGGGCAGGGGCCGUAGAUUUCUUUAACAACGCCGAAUGUGCUAUUUAUAACUAGCAUGCAUGGUAGCUGUGCUGCUGCAGAGUUUUUUCCGCUUGCCAUGUGCUGAGGUUGAAUGACAUACGGCAGGCAAAUGCACUGAGCAUUUCGAUAGCUCAUUGAGACAAGGAAAAUCCGCUCCAGGUGGGAGAAGUGGGAGGCAGGGAGGGAGAAAGGAAACUGUGUACCCCCCCCCCAUUUCCCCACUCCACAUUUCCCCCUGACUUGUUCCCCCUUGAAAGGUUUUAAAUGUGGGGAAAUACGAUAUUUAAUAACCCAUGGAGGGAUGUGCCAAUGGGGUGGGUUGCGCAAUUUGGAGUGGGGAAGCAGGAAACGGGGAGACCAUUAAAUGUGCCCUCUCUCUUCUGCGGCUUCUGUGCUCCUGAUCAACCCCCACCCCCCACCCCAAAGCAGCUGUUCUUCAUGGAAACAACUCACUGGGCUAUCAUUACAUGCAUUCACAUGUCAGGAGUCAUCAGUGAGUGAGGUUGCCGAGAAGAAAGGCACACGCACAUGAGUGGGAACAGGUCAUCUGCCACGGAAGAAUGACCCCUUUUCACAAGUUUUGCUCUAGGGGUCUCUUGAGUGCUCUUGUCUGAAUUUCAAGUUCGCUUCUAGAUUUUUUAGCAUGAAAGGUGGCUUCUCAGGGCUGAGCGCAACACUGCAAGAAUCACGAGCAGCCACUCAGAAAUGCAGCCGUGUGUUUUCUCCUCGUUCUGCUUUGUAACACACAGCGUGCCUUGCCUCUUUCCUGGCCUUGUGCUGCACAUUUCUCUGAUCCUGUGGGAAGCCAAAGAUAUUGUCCAGGAGGUGAAGAAACACACAAAAGAAACACGUCAGAAAAGCAGUACGGAAGGGGGUUUCCAUACUAGGGGAAAUUACAUAAUUUCUAUCAUUCGUACACACAAUUAUAACGGAGGUUCCACAUGAUAUCGGCCUUGAAUCUGCUCCUGUCUCAUUCUUUCCUCCUUGUGGCCCCGUGGCCCUGCAGUGGGUGGGCAGCCUUUGCUUUAGUAUUUCGGCACGUUCUCGGGAUAGAUGUUUUGGGGAAUGGUGCAAAGCAGAGUUCCUGUUGUCAGCCUCUGGUUGCUGAAACCAUUACAGUUGCCAUUAAAAAAAUGAAAUUGGUGCUAUUACACUAUUACGCUACUGUGAAUUGGCACAAUUUCUACUUCUUCCAUUAAGCGAUAUUCCUGAAAAUAAGUUUAUGGAGCUACCUGGCCUUCGACAUCAGCAAUCAGUGAGGGAAGGGGAUUCGUGAUCAAUAACGGCACAGAACCCCCUGUGUGGCUUGGAAAAUACGAGCAGUGAAUGAUUUCAAGAGUGCAAUAUCCCUCUGAUGUACGAAUCCUUUAUUGCAAUUCCAUAUGAUGUUUUCCUGCAAUAGUGAGUGACAGCCUGCUAACAUACAAUGGCCUAGCCUGGAACCACCCAAUGUGGCACUAGGCAUUGUGGGGGGAAUAAUCAGGGCUUUUUUUCAGGGGGAACGCGGUGGAACGGAGUUCCAGCACCUCUUGAAAAUAAUCAGCAAUAGUGCUUGAAAAUAAUAUUAUUUCAAAGAAUCCUGUGUGUUUCUUACUCAUUUCCCUCUUAAGAGUUCCGCCACCACUUUUCCCAGAAAAAAAACCCUGAUAAUAAUAAUAAUAGCAACAACAACAACAACAAUGGCAACGUUCGAUUUAUAUACCGCCCUUCAGGACAACUUAACGCCCACUCAGAGUGGUUUACAAAAUGUGUUAUUAUUAGCCCCAUUUCUUUGAGACAAUGAGUUCCUCUGUCACAAAAACCAUUAGGCACUCCCCCUCGGCCACUCUCCUCUCCUGCUUUCUCCACCUUUAUCACAUUUUUUAAAAAUCCUCUUUUAAUCUGACUUGGGGCUUUAUCAGAUAUUUAUUCUUUAGUUUUUAUCGCUUAGUUCCAUACAGUUGAGUUUCAUUUUCCUUCUGCCUUUUGGCAGGUUUGCACUAUCUUACAAAACACAUCUUUUUAGUUUUUCCUUUUUUUAGAUCUGUCAUGGGACCAAAGUUACUCUAUGUUCAAUUAUUUUUUACAAAGAUCCCUAUUAUGAAGAGAAAGUGGAUGGAGCUGUCAAAUGUCCACUGCUCCCUGUCAAAGAAUCAAUUUUUGUAUCAACAACAGUCACUCUUCUUCUAAACUGUGAACCUGGACAGAUCGUGAGAGGGAGAGCAGGAAGGGGUACAUCAGUGCUGAGUUCUUGUGGCCCCUUCUUACAUGCCCAGGGUAAUGCCAAUCACCACUUUGGGGUCAGGAAGCAAUUUCCCCCAGGCCAGUUUGGCUAAGGAUCCUGACAGUGAUUUGCCAUCUUCUGGGCAUAGAGCAAGGGCCACUGGAGGUAUGGGGAGGGAGGUAAUUGUGAAUUCCCUGCAUUGUGCAGGGUGGUUGGACUAGAUGACCCUGGAGGUACCUUCUAACCCUAGGAUUCUAGGAUUCGACUUCCUUCAUACCCUGUCUGUCUCUGUAAUGGGAACCCAAAGUGGCACAUCAUUGUCCUGUGCUUCAUUUGAUCCAUCCAACUUGAGAGAGCAAUACAUCAAAGGGGUUGUUUUGUCAGAGGAGUGAUGGUUGAGGUGUGUGUGAGGUCAUGUUCAUAUGCAUGGAGAUAGCAGUAGAGUGUGUAUGUAAUCUCAACUCCCCUCUGUCUGGAGAUCAGGGGGCAAGGCCAGCGGCCAUGUGACCAUUUUCAAGAGGUGCCAGAACUCCAUUCCACCGCGUUCCUGCUGAAAAAAAGCCCUGGUUUUAUUCAUUUACUUCAUUUCGAGCCCACCAUUCCUCCAAAAAGCCCCAGGCAGCGUGCAUUUCUCCCCUCCUCUAUUUUAUUCUCACGACAACCCUGCGAGGCAGGCUAGGCGGAGAGAGAGAGAGACUGCCCCAAGGUCAUCCAGCGAGCUUCAGCACUAGUCUGCCCCUCUAAUCACAGCAAGACACCGGCUCUCGUCAUCUUUGCUGAUGAUUGAUGAUUACACGUCCUGUUUAAUUUUAAUUGCAUUUUAGGACUUUAUUAUUAUUUAAUUUCAUGCUGUUAGCUGACUUGGGAAUGAUAAUUGAAAGGCUGCCUGUCAUGACUCUAAAUACAUAAAAUGGA